GAAAAGAAAGAAAAACAUGUGGAACCAGCAAAGUCACCAAAGAAAGAACACUCAGCUCCAAGUGAAAAACAAGUAAAAGCAAAAACUGAACGAGCUAAGGAAGAGGUUGGUGCUGCCUCAAAUAAAAGAG